rnacentral:rRNA from 1 species
CGAUGGAGGGGGAUAACUACUGGAAACGGUAGCUAAUACCGCAUAACGUCGCAAGACCAAAGAGGGGGACCUUCGGGCCUCUUGCCAUCGGAUGUGCCCAGAUGGGAUUAGCUAGUAGGUGGGGUAAAGGCUCACCUAGGCGACGAUCCCUAGCUGGUCUGAGAGGAUGACCAGCCACACUGGAACUGAGACACGGUCCAG